rnacentral:tRNA from 1 species
GGCAGUUUGGCGGAGUGGUCUAACGCGCUAGACUGUAUGUUUUGUCUUGAUAUAAAUUACCCCAAUCACCAACUAAUUCCAUAAUAGUGAAUUCCUUUCUUGCUAUCUAGUCCUUUCGAGGGCGCAGGUUCGAACCCUGCAACUGUCG